CAGGUUUCCGUAGGUGAACCUGCGUAAGGAUCAUUA
rnacentral:rRNA from 1 species